rnacentral:rRNA from 1 species
GAUGAACGCUGGCGGCGUGCCUAAUACAUGCAAGUCGAGCGAACGGACGAGAAGCUUGCUUCUCUGAUGUUAGCGGCGGACGGGUGAGUAACACGUGGAUAACCUACCUAUAAGACUGGGAUAACUUCGGGAAACCGGAGCUAAUACCGGAUAAUAUUUUGAACCGCAUGGUUCAACAGUGAAAGACGGUCUUGCUGUCACUUAUAGAUGGAUCCGCGCUGCAUUAGCUAGUUGGUAAGGUAACGGCUUACCAAGGCAACGAUGCAUAGCCGACCUGAGAGGGUGAUCGGCCACACUGGAACUGAGACACGGUCCAGACUCCGACGGGAGGCAGCAGUAGGGAAUCUUCCGCAAUGGGCGAAAGCCUGACGGUGCAACGCCGCGUGAGUGAUGAAGGUCUUCGGAUCGUAAAACUCUGUUAUUAGGGAAGAACAUAUGUGUAAGUAACUGUGCACAUCUUGACGGUACCCAAUCAGAAAGCCACGGCUAACUACGUG